rnacentral:rRNA from 1 species
ACCCGCUGAACUUAAGCAUAUUACUAAGCGGAGGAAAAGAAAUCAACGAAGAUUGCCUCAGUAGCGGCGAGUGAAGCGGCAAUAGCUCAAGUUUAGAAUCUGUGAUCGUCUCGGUCACCGAAUUGUAAUCUAAAGGGGCUAACAAAAGGGGAUGUCGAAGCAUAAGUUCCUUGGAAAAGGACGUCAAAGAGGGUGAAAACCCCGUAUGUAGCUUCAACUGAACCGAAUGUUGACCUUCUGAGAGUCGGGUUGUUUGGGAUUGCAGCCCUAAAUGGGAGAUAAACUUCUUCUAAGGCUAAAUAUUUAUGGGAAACCGAUAGCGAACAAGUACUGUGAAGGAAAGGUGAAAAGAACUUUGAAAAGAGGGUUAAAAGACUUGAAAUCGUUGAGAAGGAAGCAGUAGAAGUGGAUUUAAGUUAGUCAUGAAGCAAGCUAUGUAGGGAACCAGCUCGUAGUAGGAUCGGUACGUCAUUGGCUAACCUGCUACGAAGUAAUGGCACCUUAUGGCGAUUUCAUGACUAAAGGGCAGAACCAGGUCUAUUUCUUGUUGGAAUCAGUAAGGGUGAAGUCCGCAGUUUUCUGCGAGCACCUUUAUAAAACAACAAGGUGGCCUGAGGAAAUAGGUUCUGCCACAACGGCUUC